rnacentral:rRNA from 1 species
UACAGAGGUCUCAAGCGUUGUUCGGAUUCAUUGGGCGUAAAGCGCGUGUAGGCGGCUUGGUAAGUCCGCUCUGAAAGCCCGGGGCUCAACCCCGGGAGGCGGGUGGAUACUGUCAAGCUCGAGUCCGGAAGAGGCGAGUGGAAUUCCUGGUGUAGCGGUGAAAUGCGCAGAUAUCAGGAAGAACACCCGUGGCGAAGGCGGUUCUCUGGGACGGUACUGACGCUGAGACGCGAAAGCGUGGGGAGCGAACAGG